UACGUAGGGUGCAAGCGUUAAUCGGAAUUACUGGGCGUAAAGCGUGCGCAGGCGGUUGUGCAAGACAGGUGUGAAAUCCCCGGGCUUAACCUGGGAACUGCGUUUGAAACUGGGAGGCUAGAGUGUGGAAGAGGGGGGUGGAAUUCCAGGUGUAGCAGUGAAAUGCGUAGAGAUCUGGAGGAACACCGAUGGCGAAGGCAGCCCCCUGGGCUGACACUGACGCUCAUGCACGAAAGCGUGGGGAGCAAACAGG
rnacentral:rRNA from 1 species